rnacentral:lncRNA from 1 species
UGAUUGUAUGUAUAUGUGCACAUGGUUGUUUGGACUGGAGUUGGGUUGAGGCGGGUCCUGCUUUGUGCUGUAGGCCAAGAUACCCAGGGCGGACCGGUUGUUCCGAAGGCCCAGCGAGCGGUCCGGAUAGGCUGUAGGCCCCAAGAGGGCGGACCAGACGUGCCGAGGCUCGGAGAGUGGACCAGGCCGACUGAAGGCCCGGUGCGGGCGGACCAGUCAUACUGUAGACUCAGAGAGUGGACCAGGUGGAUUGAAGGCCCGGUGCGGGCGGACCAAUCACACUGCAGACUCGAUGUAUGUGGUUAGAUUCGGAGAGUGGACCAGGUGGAUUGAAGGCCCGGUGCGGGCGGACCAAUCACACUGUAGACUCGAGGUUUAUGGCUAGACUCAGAGGGUGGACCAGGUGGACUGUAGGCCGGUGCGGCGGACCAGUCACACAGUAGACCCGAAGUGCAUGGCUGUUCUGUGAUCAGAUAUGUUGUGGCAUGUUAUGCGUGUAUGGUAUAUGUGGUUGGUAUUUUGGGGAUAUCUCACUAAGCUUUCGGGCUUACAGUUGUGGUUUUAUGUUUUUCAGGUUCUUCAGGAGACCGUGGCAAGGCGAAGGCGUGAUCGUACCGCUCCUCAUGAUUUUGUAGUAAUGUGAUUCUGGGAAUACGUUAAAUGUUUUGUAUUGAAAACCUUUUUGUAAUGAUUUAAUGGAAUCGAGUUGUUUUUGAAAAAUUUAAAAUUGGUUGUAUUUUUCGGUCGUUACAAGUUGGUAUCAGAGCCUUGGUUUGAGUGAAUUGGAGAAACACUCGUGUGACUCCAGUCUCAAAUCGAGGAGAGUUUUCAAAAGAGUAUUUAAAAUGGUUUUCAAAAUGAGUAAAGGAGGACGCGGAGGUACGAUCAGCCGGAGCCAGUAAGUAACCCCAAAAUACCAUGCAUGUUAUUUGUUUUUGAGCUUUGAUAGAACAGCAUGCUAGUGUUAGGCUAGGGAUCUUCAGGAUUUCAUGAUAAUGUUGCCUGAUUUGUGAUGCCUGUAGCCUAGGGUUUCCUUGUGGGAGAUUUUCAGUGUUCCUCUAGUGGUGAGGGUUGAGAGUUGUUAUGCAUGUUUUCACUAGGGUGUUGUGGUAGUACUUCAUACAAAUAUGGGUAGGUGUGGAAGGUAGUAUGGGCCCGUACUACUGAAAGCACAGGACCCAUACGCGUAUCAGGGAAACCAUGAUCUCUAGGGUUGGGUUGAGAGAGUUGGAUCCCAGGAUAGUGGGAAGAGUCUGAGAUUUUGUGUGGUGUUUUUCAGUAUGGAGAUUCCGAGGCAUGAUGAGAGUGGAUCCGGAUCAGGAUCGGGAGCAGGAGAGGGAGUUCCGGGCGGGUCAGUACCGCCCGAGGUUAUCGGUCAGAUGAGCACGUGUGAGUUGGAUGCGAGGAUUCGUGAGAUCCUGCGUGAUGAGAUUGCUGAGUUGUUCCGGGCUGAGUUGCCGGAGCUGUUUGGGUCGAUCAAGACCGCCAUGGUUGAGUAUUUUGAUGAGCGCUAUGCAGCUCUCACAGAGACGGCUGCCGCGGCGGCUACAGCGGCUGUAGCAGCGGCAGGGGGAGGAGCUAGUCGGGGUUUUCAGUAUCGGGACUUCGAUAAUACGAAGCCUCCCACCUUCGAUGGAGUUCAGGACCCGAUUGUUGCUAUGAGGUGGUUAUCGGACGUGGAGGGGUGUUUCUUCACGUGUUCAUGCCCUGCUGAUCAGAGGGUGAGGUGUGCUCUGAACCUGUUGAGGCUCGGGGCGAAGGAUUGGUGGAGAUUGACCACGGGGUCAUAUUCGGAUGCGCAGAGGGCUGCGGUUUCAUGGGAUCAGUUCAGAGAAAUGUUCAGCACUCGUUAUGUUCCGCAAGUUGAGAGGGAGAGAUUGGCUCAGGAGUUCCUUGAGCUGAAGCAGGGUUCGGAGUCGGUGACUGAGAUCACCAGGAUGUUCACUGAGAGGGCGAUGUUUUGCCCAGAGUUCGCUUCGGAGCAGGCUCAGAUGUCUCGAUAUCUGAGCAUGCUCAAGAGGGACAUCAGACAGUUUGUGUCUGCGCAGAGGUGCGAGACCUUGUUGGAGUUGCAGGAGGCCGCUAGGCGGCGUGAGUUAGAGAUUGAGUUGCAGUUGCGUGAGCUGAGGCAGGCUCCGGUGCAGUCGCAGCCGGCGCCGAAACGGUCCAAGACCGUUGAUGUUAGAGUGGGGGAUCUGAGCAGCCACACUUGUGGGAAGUGUGGGAGGGGUCACACCGGAGUUUGUAGGUCCGGUGGUGCAUGCCGCAAGUGCGGAAAGGAGGGGCACUAUGCGAGGGAUUGUCGGCAGUCAGCGCCGGUUCGGGAUUUGAGGAUUUGUUAUCAUUGUCAUCAGGUUGGACAUUUGAGGGUCAACUGUCCACAUCUUGCUGCGGGACCGGUGCAAGCUCCAGCACCGACCACUUUGAGGAUUACAGGUGGAGGUCAAGGUGGAGCGGAGCCCCCAAGGGCUCAGGGUCGUGCUUAUCAGCUUGCGGCAGAGGAGGUCAGAGCAGUGUCGGAUGCAGCUGCGGGUAUGUUUCUCUUUUGAUAUCUUGUUAUCUUGUGAUUAUUUGUGGUGUAUUGUUUAUGUGCUGGUAUCUUUGUGUGGUUUUCGAUGCGGUAUUCGUCGUUUUGAGGGUUGUGGUUUGGUUAUGGGUUAUUGUAUUGGGAAUUUCGUUGGUUAUCAUUCAUGAGGGUUAUUAGUGGAAACCUGGCAUUGGUUUGAAGGCCGGGUAGCAUCUGCUUUCUGAGGAGUGGUUAGAUGCAUAUUGAAUUUCUUUCGAGCGGGUUAAUCAGUGUUGAUGUGGGAUCUUGUUAAGGUUGUUUAUGCCUGUGUAAAUCAGUCUGCAUGUAAGUGUUGGUUUUAUGCAGAGCUGUUCUGGGAGGUCGGUGAUGGCGACCGGUGGUUGUUAAUCAGUGCUACAAGUGGGGGAGAAUUGGAAAAUUCUCCGGGAGAUCGACGAGUAUUUGAGGGUGCUUAGCUGCUUGGAUUUCAGCAGUGGUUCUGUCAGUCAAGAGUAUAGGCUGGUACGAGUAAGCGACAGGCAUGCGGGGCGGGAUACAGACCUAGGGCAUUCGAUUGUGGAGGGCCUGGGAGCAGGUCGGGAUCGAGCAUGUGCGAUUGAGACAGAGUUCGGAACCCUUAAAGGGUUAGAACAGUAUGCAUGGGAGGAUUUCCGGGAGAGAUAGCUCAGAAUGAUGAAUGCUAGUUGAGCGGUUCGGAUAGAUUGAAGACCAGUAGGCGUACCAGUCAGGCCGAAGGCUCGGAGAACAGUCCAACCAAACUGAAGGCACUGAGAGCGGUCCAGAUUGGCUGAAGGUUCUGAGAGUGGUCCAGAUUGGCUGAGGGCCUGAUGAGGCAGUCCAGUCAUGCUGAAGACUCUGCAGGUAUUGCUAGUCCGGUUGAGGAGAUGGAUUGAGUAUGUUGCGAUGUGUUAGCAUCAGGAGGUCUGGCCCCGACUAUUGAUCUUGAUUAGUGGAGAUGGUGCAUGGACUCGAGAGUCCUUAUGAUCAGAUUCAGAGCAUGUGUGUUGCAUGGAUAACGAUUAUGCUAUAAAGGGGUGGUGCAUCGUUGGGUGAGCACCGUGGCACUUGUUGUGGUGACAAGGCAUCCAAGUGGAUUUCCUUGGUAAGGAAUGAGAGAGGAGUGUGAAUCUGAUAGGGAGUGCAAGUUCACGGAAGUGAAAACGGAAGAGCAGAGUUAUGAUUAGAGUGAUCCGAGUAUGGUUAUUGAGCAGCAUGUUUGCGGCAGUGGAAUGGAGUCACAUCCGGAUUGGGAUGUCUGCUGAAGUCGCGGAGGGAAUUUCGCGGGUGUAGAGCCAAGAGGCUCGGAAGGGAUGCAGGGAGAGAGUCUUGGGCUCUCAAUAUGAUUAUGAUCAAGGGUUGAGUGCGUAGUAGUGGUUCAUCCUGGGGGAUGUUUGGAGAUAUCAUCGGUGUAUCAGGUUUUCCCAACCUGAGGGUGCUAGAGCUAGUUCAGCAUGUGUAUGUGAUUACAAGAGGAGAACUCAUGGGAGUUGCUCUGAAGAAUGUGUCUUUCUGUCAGUAGAAUGAUUAGAGUUGGACUCGGAUCGGGAAUCCGGUGGUGCAUGGUUAUCUUCUAACUCAUAUGGGUCGAGUGAUGGUUGUGAUUUGGAGCAGUGAUGCAUCUUGGGUAAUUCUCGAUUAUUGAGUGUGAUUCUCAGAGGGUACAGUCGGUGCCCGGUUUGAGACGGUGGUCAGGACACUGCAAGGAAAGAGGAAAUGAGUUCGAGUUUCGAUGGUUAUGCCUUGAGGAACCUGGUCCGGUUAAGGCUAGGUGGCGCGUUGUGGGAGUAUUUUGGAGUUGAGUUGUCGUAGGCUUCGAGGACGAGGCCUAAUUUAAGUGGGGGAGAAUUGUAACAUCCCAGAAUAGCAAAGAGUAUAGUUGAAGGGCUAAAAGAGUAAAAUUGGAAGGGAACUCGGCGAGUCCAUGGGUGGACUCGGCGAUUAGAGUCGCGACUUGGUCGCGUGUUAAGUGGCCGACUCGGCGAGUCAGUAAGGUGGACUCGGCGAGUAGGCGCUGAGUGGAGAAAACCCUAAUUCUCGGGGUUGAGCCCUAUAUAAAGAACAUAACAUUCAUUCCCCCAGCCUCUUUACUCAUCCUCAAGUCCAGAAACCCUUAGCCUUCGUGUGUGAGUGAUCAUAUUGCAUUGGGAAGCUUGGAGAAGCAAUUGUUGAGGAAAUCUUGAAGGGUAGGAGGCUUGGAGCAAGGGGCUUUGCUUGGAUUCGAGUUCCAUUGCAGUUGGGGCGUUCUUUUGAGGUAAUAUCUCGUCCUUGGGCUGUUAUUCUUAUGGAUUCAUCAUUAUGGGGUUUGUGGGGAGCUUAUCUUUUGGUGUUUUGGAGUUUAGAGGUUAGAUCUGAGGUUGCUACCUCAGAUCUGGAAUGGAGAAGGGUUGGAAUGCCUGAAAGUCCCUGUGUUUGAGUGUGUAGUGAAGCUAUCAUGUCCCAAACCCUAGCCCUAAAGUGUUAAAGGCCUAGAUCUCUUUGGAUUCACGUAAAGUUUGCCACUUUACGUGAUGGAUGGGUUGUAGGAGGCUAGAUCUAUGUUUUGGAUCAAUUGCAUGGCCUGGAGUGCUUCUGUAUGGAUUCAGACCGGUGGUACUCGGCGAGUCACAUGGGUGGACUCGACGAGUUGCUUGAAGAUGAGCUGGAACUCGACGAGUUGGAAGAACAACUCGGCGAGUUGGAUGAAGAUGGCCUGGAACUCGGCGAGUUGUAUGAACAACUCGGCGAGUAGGUUGAAGAUAGCCUUAGACUCGGCGAGUCUGUUCUUGGACUCGGCGAGUCUUGUCGAAGAGUCCCAAUAUUUUCUGGUUGAGUCGAGAAUCGGCGAGUCAAGGGAUGACUCGGUGAGUUGUGGGCGAGUGGACUCAGAGUUGUUGGACUCGACGAGUCUCGGGGUGACUCGGCGAGUUAGGUCGCGGAUUGAGGGAAGUUCUGAGCUUGGGGACUCGGCGAGUCAUCGGGUUGACUCGGCGAGUAGAGUCAGUCAGGGGUUGACUUUGACCUUGUCCAAAGGUUGACCAGUUGUCUUUCAGGGGUAUUUUGGUAAUUAAGGGUAUUUAUUGAGUUGAGUGUGUUGGUGUUCAGUGGAGGAGUUCGUGUCGGAGCUUGGAGCAGCGGGAUCUUAUCCUUUCAGCCGGCAGUUUCGAGGUGAGUUAUCCUCACUAUAUCAACAGGGUCUAAGGCACCAAGGCCGGCCCUUAUCGGAUUGAGAUCCGGGUAGUUGUUGUUAUGUUAUUGCUUUGAUAUGUUUGCAUCCUGAGAGCUAGGAUGGUAUAUGUUAGAGACCUGAUUGAGAUCGGUAUCCUGAGAGAUAGGGAGAUGCUAUGCUAGUGACCUGUUAGGUCGGUAUCCUGGUUAGGAUGAUGAUAUGUUAUGUGAUCUGUUUGAUCUGCUUGUUGACUGUGAAUUGCUAUAUGAUUGUAUGUAUAUGUGCACAUGGUUGUUUGGACUGGAGUUGGGUUGAGGCGGGUCCUGCUUUGUGCUGUAGGCCAAGAUACCCAGGGCGGACCGGUUGUUCCGAAGGCCCAGCGAGCGGUCCGGAUAGGCUGUAGGCCCCAAGAGGGCGGACCAGACGUGCCGAGGCUCGGAGAGUGGACCAGGCCGACUGAAGGCCCGGUGCGGGCGGACCAGUCAUACUGUAGACUCAGAGAGUGGACCAGGUGGAUUGAAGGCCCGGUGCGGGCAGACCAAUCACACUGCAAACUCGAUGUAUGUGGUUAGAUUCGGAGAGUGGACCAGGUGGAUUGAAGGCCCGGUGCGGGCGGACCAAUCACACUGUAGACUCGAGGUUUAUGGCUAGACUCAGAGGGUGGACCAGGUGGACUAUAGGCCGGUGCGGCGGACCAGUCACAUAGUAGACCCAAAGUGUAUGGUUGUUCUGUGAUCAGAUA